UAUACCUGUUAUUAUCUGUUAUUUUGUAUAAAUCAUAUAGGAACUCUGUUUCUCAAUUUCCUCACCUGUAAAAUGGUAAAAUGGGACUAGAUGAUGUUCCAUCUAUCUAUCUAUUAUAUAGAUAGAUAGGUAGUUAUUUAUGGAUAUCUAUUUAUAGAUAUCUAUAGAUAUAUAUUUAAAUAGAUAGAUAUUUAUGGAUAUCUGUCUAUACAUAUCUAGAUACAUCUAGAUCUAGAUAGAUAGAGAUACUAUACAGAACAUAUACAUAGAAUAUAAAAUCCCACACGUGUGUGGGAUUGUAUAUUUUUAAAGUGAUAUGCUAGAGUACCAUCUUUUCUUUUAAGCUUUCAUAAGUUUUUAAACAUUCAUAGCAAAUGGCAUCAAUCAAGGAGAGAUAGUCAGAAUCUUCUGAAUUGUGUAUCAUUUUUUUUUUUCUUUUAAGCUUUGCCAAGGAUUCUAUCCAGGCCCAGAUAACUGUCAAGACCAAUUAUAGAAGCUUGCCAUUCUGCUCUUUUGGAGAGAUGCUGACUUCUUCCUUAUCAAGAUUAACACAAUUUGAAGUGUAAGAGGCCAGACUGUCAGUUGCAGAGAAGAGCAGAAG
rnacentral:lncRNA from 1 species